UCUUUAUGAAUAUUAUAUAAAGUAUAUCCUGCUCAGUGAUACAUAAUAAAUAGCCGCAGUAUACCUGUGCUAAGGUAGCAUAAUAACUUGCUUCUUAAUUAGAAGAUAGAAUGAAAGGUUAAACAUUAGAAUAUUAUAUAUAUACAACUAAUAAAAUUAACAAAAAGGUAAAAACCCCUUUAAAAAAAAGCGGGACGACAAGACCCUGAUAAACUCACUAUUUAGUUGGGGAAACAAUACAAAAAAACUUUAUUAAAAACAAAAAACCGAACUUUAAUAAAAAACAAGACCAAGUUACUACGGGGAUAACAGCGUUAUUUCUUUAAAGAGAUCCUAUCAAAAAAGAAGAUUACGACCUCGAUGUUGAAUUAAUACCCCUUUAAAAGGAGCAUAAACUAUAAAAGGCAGUCUGUUCGACCGUUAAAAAAUU
rnacentral:rRNA from 1 species